rnacentral:rRNA from 1 species
UUGACCUCAAAUCAGGUAAGAAUACCCGCUGAACUUAAGCAUAUCAAUAAGCGGAGGAAAAGAAACCAACAGGGAUUGCCUUAGUAGCGGCGAGUGAAG